AGGAUGAACGCUGGCGGCGUGCCUAAUACAUGCAAGUCGAGCGGUAAGGCCUCUUCGGAGGUACACGAGCGGCGGACGGCUGAGUAACACGUAGGAACGUACCCCAAAGUGAGGCAUAAGCACCAGAAAUGGUGUCUAAUACCGCAUGUGCUCUAAGGAGUAAAGCUUCGGCGCUUUGGGAACGGCCUGCGCAUGAUUAGCUUGUUGGUGAGGUAAUAGCUCACCAAGGCGACGAUCAUUAGCUGGUCUGAGAGGAUGACCAGCCAGACUGGGACUGAGAACGGCCCAGACUCCUACGGGAGGCAGCAGUAGGGAAUUUUCCACAAUGGGC
rnacentral:rRNA from 1 species